rnacentral:rRNA from 1 species
AUUGAACGCUGGCGGCAGGCUUAACACAUGCAAGUCGAACGAGUGGCGGACGGGUGAGUAAUGCUUGGGAAUCUAGCUUAUGGAGGGGGAUAACUACGGGAAACUGUAGCUAAUACCGCGUACCAUAGGAUGAGCCCAAGUGGGAUUAGGUAGUAGGUGGGGUAAAGGCUAACCUAGGCGACGAUCUCUCGCUGGUCUGAGAGGAUGAUCAGCCACAAUGGGCCUGAGACACGGCCCAGACUCUUACGGGAGGCAGCAGUGGGGAAUAUUGCGCAAUGGGCGCAAGCCUGAUGCAGCCAUGCCGCGUGUAUGAAGAAGGCCUUAGGGGUGUAAAGUACUUUCAGCGGGUAGGCGUUACCCGCAGAAGAAGCACCGGCUAACUCCGAGCCAGCAGCGGCGGUAAUAC